rnacentral:tRNA from 1 species
GGUUGUAGCUCAGUGGUAGAGUGCUUGUCUUGCACACCUGAGGCCCUGGGUUCAAUCCUCAGCACCA